rnacentral:RNase_P_RNA from 1 species
AGCGAUCGUGAGGAUAGUGCCACAGAAACAUACCGCCUGUUGGGGUGUCGAGUGUCGGGUGUCAGGUGUCGGCUAAACAGCCGAUCCCCGUCCCCUGACACCUGACACCCAAACAGGUAAGGGUGCAAAGGUGCGGUAAGAGCGCACCAGCAGCAUCGAGAGGUGCUGGCUCGGUAAACCCCGGUGGGGAGUAAGGUUGAAGGAACAAGGGUUGGUCGUUUGCCUGUUCCGAGCAGGGAAGCAAUGCUUUUCCUGUGCAUCCGCUAGAGGCAUCUGGUGACAGAUGUUCGAGAUAGAUAACUGCCCUGACAUUGAGGCGACUUGGUGUUGGAACAGAACCCGGCUUAUGUCCGCCUCUUUCC